rnacentral:rRNA from 1 species
UACAGAGGUCUCAAGCGUGUUUCGGAUUCAUUGGGCGUAAAGGGUGCGUAGGCGGCGCGGUAAGUCGGGUGUGAAAUCUCGGAGCUUAACUCCGAAACUGCAUUCGAUACUGCCGUGCUUGAGGACUGGAGAGGAGACUGGAAUUUACGGUGUAGCGGUGAAAUGCGUAGAUAUCGUAAGGAAGACCAGUGGCGAAGGCGGGUCUCUGGACAGUUCCUGACGCUGAGGCACGGAAGGUCAGGGGAGCAAACGGG